GCCAGGCAUGUUAGCAUACGCCUGUAGUCCUAGCUACUUGGGAGGCUGAGGCAGGAGGAUUGCUUGAGUUCAGGAGUUGUGAGCUGCAAUGCACUAUGCCGAUUGGGUGUCCAAGGAAGUCCACCAUCAAUAUGGUGACCUCCCGGGAGCAGGGGCCACCAGAUUGCCUAAGGAGGGGUGAACUGGUCCAGCUAAGAAACAGAGCAGGUCAAAACCCCAUGCUGAUUAAAAACAUUUACAAAUGAAAAUUAAAAUUGCUAUUAGCAGACUUCUCUUCU
rnacentral:SRP_RNA from 1 species